UUGUGCUCAAACAUUUUAAUCAUUUCUGCCCUGUUACUCCCACCCCAGAUCCAAGCGCCAGCCCAGUUCCGGUGGGGGCUCAGUCCUCCGGAGUCCAGGAGUCAGGGCUCGGGGGCUCUCAGCGGCCAGUGGGCAAGAUUGGGGCCUUUCCUGUUCUCGAAGCUGCACAAAGGUGGGAGCCAGGGCUCAUUUUCAUAGCCAAGGGUCCCAGGAGCUCCCCAGGAGCUUGGCCAAUGGGCUGGUCCAUGGUGGGUGAGGGGCCAGAGGCUCUGGCCAUUGCUACAGGCAGUAAAACUCCUGACUCGGUUAUGGUCCCAAAGAGCACACCCAGAAGAAUGGGCUCAAAGGUGAAGGU
rnacentral:antisense_RNA from 1 species